rnacentral:rRNA from 1 species
GAUGAACGCUGGCGGCGUGCUUAACACAUGCAAGUCGAACGAAGCACUUUAAUCGAUUUCUUCGGAUUGAAAUUUUAGUGACUGAGUGGCGGACGGGUGAGUAACGCGUGGGUAACCUGCCUCACACAGGGGGAUAACAGUUGGAAACGGCUGCUAAUACCGCAUAAGCGCACAGUACCGCAUGGUACGGUGUGAAAAACUCCGGUGGUGUGAGAUGGACCCGCGUCUGAUUAGCUAGUUGGCAGGGUAACGGCCUACCAAGGCGACGAUCAGUAGCCGACCUGGGAGGGUGACCGGCCACAUUGGGACUGAGACACGGCCCAAACUCCUACGGGAGGCAGCAGUGGGGAAUAUUGCACAAUGGGGGAAACCCUGAUGCAGCGACGCCGCGUGAGCGAAGAGGUAUUUCGGUAUGUAAAGCUCUAUCAGCAGGGAAGAAGAAAUGACGGUACCUGACUAAGAAGCACCGGCUAAAUACGUGCCAGCCGCCGCAGUAA